rnacentral:misc_RNA from 1 species
GAAAUGCGAUAAGUAAUGUGAAUUGCAGAAUUCCGUGAAUCAUCGAAUCUUUGAACGCACAUUGCGCCCUCUGGCAUUCCGGGGGGCAUGCCUGUCCGAGCGUCAUUACGCACCCUCAAGCCCGGCUUGUGUGAUGGGCCCUGGCGUCUCGUUCGCGAGACGGGCCCGAAAGGCAGCGGCGGCGUCGACACGAUGAGCCCGAGCGUAUGGGGACUUUUGUCACACGUUUGCGGUGCGGACCGGCGCCUGCUUGACUUUUCUGAUUAUCCAGGUUGACCUCGGAUCAGGUAGGGAUACCCGCUGAACUUAAGC